UACGGAGGGUGCGAGCGUUGCUCGGAAUCACUGGGCGUAAAGCGCACGUAGGCGGAUUGCUAAGUCAGGGGUGAAAUCCUGGAGCUCAACUCCAGAACUGCCUUUGAUACUGGCGAUCUUGAGUCCGGGAGAGGUGAGUGGAACUGCGAGUGUAGAGGUGAAAUUCGUAGAUAUUCGCAAGAACACCAGUGGCGAAGGCGGCUCACUGGCCCGGUACUGACGCUGAGGUGCGAAAGCGUGGGGAGCAAACAGG
rnacentral:rRNA from 1 species